ensembl:lncRNA
CUGCUUACCAUGGCCCAAGAGCCAGAAGCAGGUGACACAGAGACGUAAAACAGAGUGACCUUUUCUCAAUAUAUCUGGAACAAAAUUUAUGCAAAACUGAAGAUGUUGAGGACAACUCAAAAAUUACCCCAGGAACUGGUGAAUGCCACAUGAGCAGAGAGUGAAGGGUCCUGCAUGCCAAAUGAGUGCCCUGAGUUCCUUUUCAAGUCUCAAAGGCGGGAAACAUCAGUGUGAGAUGUGCCCUGGCUGGUAUCCCAAGGCCACUGUCAGCAAGAGGACACCCAUCUGAAGGGCCUGUGUGAAAGAUCAUCCCCCACUCUUCCCCACACAAGUGGUUGGUUUGUGCCUGCAGCUACUCCGUGCUCCAAAGAAGACAAGAAUCUCCCCUCUAGCACCUGCAAGAACAAACCAAACCCAACAGAUCUCCCCACACCCAGGAAGUGCCCACGCUCUGCUCCCUUAUCACCCCCAGCAGCAAGGUGAUGGAGAGGUGAGAUGGGGAAAGGAACCCUGGUAGUUGUUUUGACCACAGUUAUGGAACAGCUCCUGAGAUGUGGAGGAUCCUGCUUGUUCUGGUUUUCACCACCUGCAGCAAGCGGACGUGAACCCACAACAUCCUUAACUACAUUCCAAUCCAACCAAAACACAAGCACUAAUCAUAUGGUUACAAAGUCCUUCGGCUUCUUCAGAUGGAAAGAUUUAUGUCCUCAAAGACUUGGCCAGCCCAUUAUUGCUCAUUCAUUGUGUUUGCCUACAAGUUAUGACUGCUCUUUCAAUUUAAUUUUUAAUGUGGCUCUAGCCUUGCCUCACUAAGCUCCAGGAAAAUUGUAAAGGCACUGGCUGUUACUGUGAACCUAUAAUCUCUUGGCAAAAGCAGUGUGGGCAAGCAGAGUCUCUCCCCAUUGCACAACAGUUCACAGCACCACACUCUGCCCCUUAUGCAAGAACCACGUUUUUCUUCAAAGAAAGUGUGCAGUGCUCCAGUCGGAUGCUUGAGCCAGAGAAAAGAGUAAAAUUUCCCAGAUGAGGCAUAUGGAUUCAGUGAACAUCUGAAUCAGGCAUUGUGGGUCUACACGUGGUUUAUUGCUAUUCAUAAAGCUCACUGCUAUGCUUACCUACUGUUUCUCUUCCGUUUCAUUUUUACUGAGUGCUCAUCAUCUCACUAUCAGUGAUCUAGGUCCCCAGGGGAACUUUAAUAAUUCUGGCCAUUAGAUUUUAACACAAAGCAGAUUAUAUUACUGUGAUAUUGGAAUUUAGUGACUUAAGAUGUUUUCCAUUCCAGCUGUUUUUAUUUAGGCAGCAUAUCCCAAAUUGUCUCUUCAUGGUAGCUUUCCAACACUUAGACCUCCUUUGCAGGCAAACUGUGAAGCCUGAUGCCAACUAUCAGGAAACCACCUACACAGUGACCACCAUCCAAACCUGGGCAAAUUUUUCAUAUAUGGCAGUAGAUGGUUUACCUGCUGCCAACAGUACAGUGUACUGGCAUAUGCAUGUAGAUGCCUCUGCCCUGGAGCCCAGGUUAUUCACCCAAAAUGCAGGAGGUUCCUGAAUGUCUCUGAACCACCUAGAAUUUUAAGAAAGAACUGGAGGUGCUCAAAAUGCCUAAGAAAAGGGAAGAAUGGAGAGAUGCUAUUGCAAAUCUGCAUGGUCUGGGUUAAAUUUCUUUCUUUCCCAAGCAACUGCUUUAGGCCCAGCAGCUGCAGCAUUUCUGGUAAAGUGCAAACCACAUCAGAGGGGAGCAGCAGACACCCGGUUUUAGCCAAGGAGGUGGUGCCCAAGCAUCCAUUCAUCCCUCAGCAACCAGACCCAGCAUCUGUCCUUUCCCACUGGGGCCACAGUCUGGUGGCCCCCUCAAACCAAAUGCCAAACACAAAAUUCUGCUGACUACACCACGAGCAAGCUGAACAGCAAAGGGCCCUUUGCUGAGGCACCAAGGUCUCAUCCCAUUUAAUAUUUCACAGGGAC